rnacentral:rRNA from 1 species
GACAGAGGGUGCAAACGUUGUUCGGAUUUACUGGGCGUAAAGCGCGUGUAGGCGGCUUUGCAAGUCGGAUGUGAAAGCCCACGGCUCAACCGUGGAAGUGCAUCCGAAACUGCAUGGCUGGAGUCUCGGAGAGGAAGGUGGAAUGCUUGGUGUAGAGGUGAAAUUCGUAGAUAUCAAGCAGAACACCUGCGGCGAAGGCGGCCUUCCGGACGAUGACUGACGCUGAGGUGCGAAAGCGUGGGGAGCAAACAGG